rnacentral:rRNA from 1 species
GACGAACGCUGGCGGCGCGCCUAACACAUGCAAGUCGAACGGUGAAGAGGAGCUUGCUCCUCGGAACAGUGGCGGACGGGUGAGUAACACGUGAGCAACCUGGCUCUAAGAGGGGGACAACAGUUGGAAACGACUGCUAAUACCGCAUGACGUAUCGGGAUGGCAUCUUCCUGAUACCAAAGAUUUUAUCGCUUAGAGAUGGGCUCGCGUCUGAUUAGUUAGUUGGCGGGGUAACGGCCCACCAAGUCGACGAUCAGUAGCCGGACUGAGAGGUUGAACGGCCACAUUGGGACUGAGACACGGCCCAGACUCCUACGGGAGGCAGCAGUGGGGGAUAUUGGACAAUGGGGGCAACCCUGAUCCAGCGACGCCGCGUGAGGGAAGAAGGUUUUCGGAUUGUAAACCUCUGUUGACGGAGAAAAAAAUGAUGGUAUCCGUUUAGAAAGCCACGGCUAACUACGUG